AGGAAAAUGAAGACGAGGAAGGGGAAAGUGAAUUGCUUAAUGUCUUGUGGGUACCAAAUAAUAGAGUCAGUAUCUGCCACUGCCAUGCUGAAGAUUUUGCACUGUUACUUACACAGAUUCAUUCCCCUUUUUGCAGGCUUUUUCGGGCCAGGAGAUGGUUUUGCAGCAGCAGAAGACUAUGAACUGGGCUUUGGGAGAUAGGAUCUCUGGUUGUAUUCUGGCUAUCCACACUCUGAAAGAGGACCGUGACAGAGAAUUUGAGUAUCCUACCAAUAUACCUACAAAAGGAUGAAAGAAGAUUUGGAGUCAAGGGAAAACAAGGGCAAUAAAAUAGAUGCUUACCACCUGCUCUCAUACAGUUGCUAGAAGAGGACUGCAUAUUUGGUUCUAAGUUUUUGGAAGAUAAAGCAAAA
rnacentral:lncRNA from 1 species